AUGCAAUACACAUGUUUAGUACUUCUACCGAUGUUUUGCAGGUUUUUAUAAUGUUUUUCUGUCACGAUCUGGAAGUAGUAGUGACAGGCUUAGUUUUCGAAAAACAGUGGUUUCUAUACAUUGUAACCUUUGCGUGACCUCGCGCAACUUGUAGAAUUCCCACGAGAAAUUUAGCGAAGUAAAUUGUUGAAAUUUAUAAAGAGGAAGAGUACAACUUUCUUUGUCCAGUUAGACCGGGACAAGAAGAUUGGAAGAGCGCAUUGCUCUACAAACCUAUUUUUCGAACAAAGCAGAGGAUUCUAGCAAAUAAACAUGACUCAGAAAAACCAAAAUUGCGUAAAAACCAAAAAAAGACUAAUAUUCAAAACAUUU